rnacentral:rRNA from 1 species
GCGUACAGGUUCCGUAGGUGACCUGCGGAAGGAUCAUUAAUGAAUAAAUCUGAUCAGUUGUCGCUGGUUCUUUAAAGGGCAUGUGCACGCUUGUCAUCUUUAUAUCUCCACCUGUGCACUUUUUGUAGACCGGGAUAUCCCUCUGAGUGCCAGUCACUCAGGUUUGGGGAUUGGCUUUACGUCUCUCCUUACAUUUCCGGGUCUAUGUUUAUUCAUAUACACAAUACAUUGUAAUAAAGUCGGCUUAUAAAUGAAACCUUUACAACUUUCAGCAAUGGAUCUCUUGGCUCUCGCAUCGAUGAAGAACGCAGCGAAAUGCGAUAAGUAAUGUGAAUUGCAGAAUUCAGUGAAUCAUCGAAUCUUUGAACGCACCUUGCGCUCCUUGGUAUUCCGAGAAGCAUGCCUGUUUGAGUGUCAUUAAUAUAUAUCAACCUCUUCAGUUAUUUGUUGAGUGUUGGAUGUGGGGGUUUAUUUUGCUGGUUUUCUACAGUCAGCUCCCCUGAAAUGUAUUAGCGGAACAAUUGUAGACCGUUCAUUGGUGUGAUACAACUAUCUACGCUAUUGACGUGAAGCAGUUCAGCUUCUAACAGUCUAUUAAUUUGGACAAGUUUUCAUUAAUGUGACCUCAAAUCAGGAGGACUACCCGCGACUA